UAUUAAAGUUGUUGCGGUUAAAAAGCUCGUAGUUGAAUCUGUGUCUCGCGCUGCCGGUUCACCGCCCGCGGUGUUAAACUGGCACGCCCGCGAGACGUCCUGCCGGUGGGACGGCUCGGCGACGGUCUCGGCCGCCGCCGCGCGUCCCGACUUGAAAUCCUACCGCGGUGCUCUUCACUGAGUGUCGAGGUGGGCCGGCACGUUUACUUUGAACAAAUUAGAGUGCUCAAAGCAGGCUAAAACUUCGCCUGAAUACUGUGUGCAUGGAAUAAUGGAACAGGACCUCGGUUCUAUUUUGUUGGUUUUCGGAACCCCGAGGUAAUGAUUAAUAGGGACAGAUGGGGGCAUUCGUAUUGCGACGUUAGAGGUGAAAUUCUUGGAUCGUCGCAAGACGGACAGAAGCGAAAGCAUUUGCCAAAAAUGUUUUCAUUAAUCAAGAACGAAAGUCAGAGGUUCGAAGGCGAUCAGAUACCGCCCUAGUUCUGACCAUAAACGAUGCCAGCUAGCGAUCCGCCGACGUUCCUCCGAUGACUCGGCGGGCAGCUUCCGGGAAACCAAAGCUUUUGGGUUCCGGGGGAAGUAUGGUUGCAAAGCUGAAACUUAAAGGAAUUGACGGAAGGGCACCACCAGGAGUGGAGCCUGCGGCUUAAUUUGACUCAACACGGGAAACCUCACCAGGCCCGGACACCGGAAGGAUUGACAGAUUGAGAGCUCUUUCUUGAUUCGGUGGGUGGUGGUGCAUGGCCGUUCUUAGUUGGUGGAGUGAUUUGUCUGGUUAAUUCCGAUAACGAACGAGACUCUAUCCUGCUAAAUAGGCGUUACUUUCCAGCAUCUCGAAGGCUCGCGUAUCCCGUUUGCCGGCGGUUUUUACAGCCGGCGUACACAAACACAUGGAUUAUCUUAGAGGGACAGGCAGCUCCUAGUCGCACGGGUUUGAGCAAUAACAAGUCUGUGACGCCCUUAGAUGUUCUGGGCCGCACGCGCGCUACACUGAAGGAAUCAGAGUGUCCUCCCUGGCCGAGCGGUCCGGGUAACCCGCUGAACCUUCUUCGUGCUAGGGAUUGGGGUUUGCCAUUUUUUCCCAUGAACGAGGAAUUCCCAUUAAGCGCGGGUCAUAAGGCCACGUUGAUUACGUCUCUGCCCUUUGUACACACCGCCCGUCGCUUCUACCGAUUGAAUGAUUUAGUGAGGUCUUCGGACCGGUACACGGCGAGUUUCCGAUCCCGCCGAUGUCGCUGGGAAGAUGACCAAAUUUGAUCAUUU
rnacentral:rRNA from 1 species